rnacentral:rRNA from 1 species
GAUGAACGUUGGCGGUGUGCCUAAUACAUGCAAGUCGAACGGAGUUAAUAGCAAUAUUGACUUAGUGGCGAACGGGUGAGUAACGCGUUGGUGAUCUGCCUUGAAGUGUGGAAUAACGCUCCGAAAGGAGCGCUAAUACCGCAUGUGCUCUCAAUUUUUAGAAAGUUGAGAGGAAAGGAUUUAUUCGCUUCGAGAGGAGCCUGCGUCCCAUCAGCUGGUUGGUAGGGUAAAGGCCUACCAAGGCAAUGACGGGUAGGGGACCUGAGAGGGUGGCCCCCCACAAUGGAACUGAAACACGGUCCAUACACCUACGGGUGGCAGCAGUAGGGAAUAUUAGAAAUGGACGAAAGUCUGAUCUAGCAACACCGCGUGUGCGAAGAAGGCCCUUCGGGUCGUAAAGCACUUUUUGGAAGGAAUAGGAAGGAAUGUACUUCCAGAAUAAGUCUCGGCUAACUACGUG